rnacentral:lncRNA from 1 species
AACAAUAUCCAAUCCUGGACAUAAAAUGUAUCAUUAAAUAUCUUGAGAAUAGUGAGACAUUAUAAAACACUGUACAGUUUUAAUUCUUCAAUUAGUUUUUCAGUAUUGGAUUGAAUUAAAUUCAAUAAUAAUUUAAUUAUUAUAUCUUAGAACAUGUCUUAGUAGGAAAAACUUUCCAGGUGAAGUCUCUUAAUGAAGCACAGGACCCAGAACUAGAAUGUCACCCUCUGAUGGCAUCUAUUAUCAUAGUAUUAUGUCAACGUGAUGCGUCUGAACAACCAUCAGUAUGCCUUACAACAGAAGUUAUUCUGGCAAAAUUAAUAGUAUGCUUUUUUCUUAAGACCCAAGGGUGAAAUGUGGGGGAGUAAAAUGUUCACCAAUCCACCCAUCUUGGCCUCUUUAGCACAGUACAACCAAAUCAAGAGAUAUAUGAACUUAAAGCUAUAUAUAAGCUAUUCAGGCCAAGAAUAUCUAAUUCUCACAGAGGCAAAAGGUUGUAGGACCUAAAUUAUCUAUAGUAGCUGCUUGAGCUGAUAAAAGCACCAGGCAAUUUCUAAACUCCCCACUUUACUUUGUGCAGCUACAACUGUGUUUUAAAAAGUCCCACACAAGGCUUUAAAGUGACUCAUUUGUAAUAUACUGCAGAUGGUACUUCCAUUUAUUAUUGGGCGUUGCUCUGCACUGUAUUAUAACUUCAGCGUUUGGACAGCAAUCAAAGCAUUUUUCACCCAGUGGCCUCUACUUUACAGACAAUACUAUGGAGUUAUUUCCUACCAAUAUAAAGAGCAAUUUUAGUAAUCUCGAUGACUUAUAUACAUAACAGCUUGUAAUAUUAACACACCAAACUUAAAAUCAGUUUGCAUUAUUUUUAACUAGCUAUGAAAACCUGCCCAAAGAUUUUAAAUGAAAUAUCUCCCCCAACUGCAUGUAAGUCAUUAUAAGCCUCCUAUCAGAAAGCAUUCAUUAUGGCUCCCACCAAUUCACUUUUCUUAGUAGUUACAAAUUGUCUAUAAUUUCCAACAGUUGGUCUCAGCUCAAAAAUAAACUUUUUCACAGCUAAACUAACCCAUUUUCAAUGUCCAUCCACCAUAAUUUUCAAAACUCUUCACUAUAAAAACUGGAAAGUUUUGGGUACAAAGGGAAUGCUUAAAAAACAAAUGUUCCUAAUAUUUGUGUUUACAUAUUGGAUUUUUUACAAAUACCUGGUUUAAAUUAUUUCUGUGACCAUAAAAUUUUAUAACAAUGGGGGUAAAUAAUCUAUCUUAAUAUCAAUCAUUUUCAUAAUGGAACAGUAUUUCAGAAAUGGAAUCUUUUGUAUUCGAAAAUUUGUUUUUAUUCAUUUCUUAUCUUUCUCCUUCUUUCCAAAAACAGCACAAAGCUAUUAGAAGAAUUUACUAGAUUUAUCUUAAAUUUUGCCAAGAUCUAGAAUGCCUGUGGCCUUGACCAAUCUCAUUAGCCUAAUGAUAGUGAGAUACAUGAGGCUUUCGUCAUCUCAACCCCAUACGGGGUCUGGCUUCAAGGGAAAAUGCAGCUUUCAUAAAAUAACCUCGGACGAGAACAACUGCACCACCGUCUGUUCAAACAUACGCGUCAAAUCUCUGCUAAAUUUACACAUUCUACUUCCAAGCUUUGCUUCUUCAUUUAUCCAGAAAACAUUCAUUUAUAUUUAUUUUCUUUCAAAUACAUCAGGCUUUUUGUAUACCACUCAAGAACAUUGUUGAAUCUUCCUGAAGAUAAUCUCUGCAUUGAUUAUAGUACAUGAAAAGAAUCAUUUCUUUCAUACCCCCCAGUUCUUUUUUUUUUAUACAUACACAAAAAGGGCUGGCUUAAUUUAGAGAAAAUGAGAGUUCUAGUUUAACUUGUAAUUUUUCUUAUCCUAUCACCAGAAACUACAUUCUUGUCCCUGACUUUCCUCUUAAAUGUUUGAUUGUUGUUGGGUUUGGGUUUUUGGUUUAGUUUGGUUUUUGCUUUUUUGUUUGUGAUGACUCUUCUAACCAUACAUUAUCUAAAAAAAAAAAAAAACACCUAUGCAUAAAAUGUUCUAAUGUUUCCUACUUGGCUGAAUCAGAAAGAAUCAAUUACUGUGUAGAAUUUCACUGAAACUUCGAAGAUAGAUAACAUCAAACUCUGUAACAUGUUAGUGACGUUUUUUCUUUGCACUUUUUCAUUUCUCUUCACUGUGAAAAUCUUUUGAGGAAAUAGUAUGUAGUUACUAAGUAAUCCACAUAUUCUCUAUUUUCCCUUUACAUUUAUUUUGCUUUGAUUCAGGAAAAAAUAUAUAUCUGUUAUGUUUUAAAAUAAUACUAACUUCUGAACACUCUAAUGAUUCUAGUUGUCAUGAUCUCUCAUUUUGACUUUGGCAAUUAUUCUCAUACGUACCCAAGAUAACCUGCCCAGUCUAGACAUCACUUCUUCCUUGUCCUUCUCUUUUUGUAAUAUACUUUAUGCCCAUAUAGUGCCUUUUAUCCACAGAUCUCAAAGUGCUUCUUUUUUUCUAAUAUGCCUUUAUAUUCUCUAGAGAACCAAAGAGGCUUUUUUUAUUGUACCUCUGGCUUUCUUUUAUGGAUGAAAUCUGGUCUGGUUGCUAAGAAGCAUGGAUUUGAAUACACUCUCUAGCAGCUUCUACCCUUCUGCUUUUAAAAUGGUUAUUUUUUUUAAUCCAUUGAAGUGCAAUUUGACUAUCAUUUUUUAAAAUCUCCUUUUAAAAGUCAAAAUGCAACUCUCUGGAAACCAAUGAAUCUCAUUGCCACGGUAUGGUAGGUUCUCCUGCUUCAUGAUCUAUAAUCAUUUCUUCAGUGUCAGUAAUAAAAUGCUUCAGUAACCUCUCCCAGCCCCUUGGCAUUCUGCCUACUAGUGUCAGGCCUUUCUCCCCCUGCGAUCCUACUACUCAAAGAGCCAAGAGUGAUGGUGCUGCUGCCAUGGCAACUUAGAAUAUUGAAGGCUUGGAAGUCUUUUCUUUGUUUUAUAUGAGAUAUUAACUGAAGAACAUUGCAUAUUUAAGAGGCUUAUUUCAUUACCUAUUUCCCCUGAGUUCUUUUCUCCUCCCAUAUAGACUUGCCUAUCUAUAUAUGGCCUUAAUUUCUAGACUAACAAGUAGUUUUUUAUUCUGCCUCAUUUACCGAAUGAGCAUUCCCUUGUUACCUUGCCCGAGGUCAUGCAUGAGUUCCCAGAAAAUUGAAAGUUAGUCUGCAUUCCCUGGUCACAUCCUACCCAACAAAGCAGUUUCACUGCAGCAUAGAAUCCCCUGGUGCAUAAUUGAGACCUAACUUCAGACUUCUAAACAGGGUAAUGUCAACUCCCUCCUCCAGCUGUUCCAGGCAGUUAUCUUUACCAGCUGUUUACCAUCGUCAACAAUGACAUACUUCUGCAUGUCUGAAAUAUGUGAAACUUCAAAACGGCCCUUUCAUGUUUCUACCCAAGGAAUUUGGAAUGGCUGUUAAGCACCCACAACCUACAAUCAACACAGCUUCUGGCAGCAGUUGGGAAGAGCCAUGAGCAAUGUCACAUCCAGAGGAGAAAGCCAGCAAAAUCAUCCCCUGUACAGUCAUUCUCAAGUACCAUACGCAUUCUACUUUUAUUAACAGAACUAUUUAGAUUAGGCAUGAAAUUAAUUUACUGCUACGCUGGUUUAAGACAUUUAUUUUUAAAAUUAAUUUUGCAAUUGGCUUGAAUCUGUUUUGCUAUAGGAGGCUAGGAUGGCAAACAGACAAUGAAAAAGAAAAACUAUGCAGCCCCAUCAGAGUAAGCGGAUGGCAAGGUGAUUGAUGUUUCUGCCCAAGGAGUGAGCAGAUAGUCAAAAAGCAUGGGCUAAAUCUAUAAUUUUUGUGCUCUGGGGACAAGAGGAAGGAUUGGAGGUGGGAAGUUUCUUAGUUUUAUGCAAUGGAACUGAGAGAGGCAUUUUGCCUGUUCUUUGCAUAUAUUCUACCCUAUUCAAAUUCCAACUGGCAGUGAAGAGUUCUGGCAUUGGCUAACUGAAGAAGCAUCACUUAUUUAUUUGUUUUGUGGCUGUUUGUUUUGCUCUUUUAAUCUCAAUGGCCCAUCAAUUUUUAACUAAGCUCCCUCCAGGGUUUAUGGUUUGGGCAAGCCAGUUAACCACAAUAAGUGGCAUUCCCAAAGAAUUUCUGCGUGCAUUAUUAGCAGAGCACAGUGGCUGCCUUGGACUCCAGGUAAAAAGAUAAAGCAUUUGCUGGGGAUAUUUGUCUCAAUCUAUAGAGAAGGAGGAAUUUCCAAAUGGGUAACCUUUUCCCCCAACCAGAAUCACCCCAAGGAAAUUUGACUUCUCCUAAAAUCCUUUCCCUUUACCAGCUCUCAUACUAGCUCUCCACAUUUUUUCACACCUUAUUGCUCAUAGUCAGAAAGUGCUUCCGAGUCUUGUUUCAAUCCCUUCUGCAUCCUCCUUUCCUAUGUCAUCAAUAAAAAUGGUAACAUCAACAUAUUAUGCUUUCAUAAGUUUAUAUUUCUGUAAUGGAAUACACCAAUUUUGUUGCUCAUUCUAGGCUCUAACUAGGAGCACAUAUAUCCAAAUUCUUAGUUAGUGGGCAUUCUCAAAGAGCUCUAAGAAUUCAGACACAAUGACUGAAUAUAACCUACAGAAAAUUAGGCUGAUUUUUGCCUUAAGACACAGUUUCUUCUUUUUUAAAAUACACAACAAUGUUUUUCUUCUCCUAAUUAAGUAGUGCUGUACACUAGAAAUCAGAUAAAGAAUUCAAGGACCCAAAGUUUAGAACAGGAACUGGCAGUUUUCUUUGCAAUGUGUGAUAGAGAAUUGGUUUCAUUUUGACCUCCUGAGGUUUGACUAAUUCUGUUACAGAUUUGGAAGUCAAUGUUCUAUCUUGCAUAUAAAGUCAAAAGAUUUAAUUCAAAUAAAAAGUAGAACUAAGUAUGUAUAUGCUUAUAGGUUAGAAUUCAUAACUUAAUUAUCUACUGGAGCCAUUUCUAAAACAUGAUGUUAGAGCCAUAUUUAUUUUUACUUUUGAUGGCAUCUUUUCUGCUUAUAGAGAUAAUACAUGUCAUUUUUUAAAUUAGGAAAUUCAGAAAAAGUAUAUGUCAUUGAUAUUCUCACCACUCAGAGAUAACUAGAGAUAUGUUUUUUCAAUCUUUUUGAAAUAUAUGCACAUACCAAUACACAUUUUUAAACAACACUAGCUUAUACCAGACAUAUUUUUUAUACCAUGAGCAUUCCCAUUUAUAUUAAACAUUAUCCAUUAGGAUAUGUUAAGACAAUAUCCAUUAGGAUAUUAUCUAUUAGGAUAUCCAUCAACUGUAUUUAUUUUUAGAUUUAUUUUAAAGUUUCCAUUUAACAUCACUCAAGCACAGGAAUGUGUUAGUCAUUAAAGAAUAUCUGUAAAAAUCACAUUUAAGAAAGUUACGGUUUAAAGAAAAGAAAAGAACAAAAAAAAAAAACUCAUUUCAUUAUCACCAGGGCUGAAUUCAGAGUUAUAGAGGAAAAGGAAAGUAAGUUAAUCAGUUGCUUCAAGGAAAUGAAUCAACCAUUAAAAAUCAUGCAUUUACAAAGCUCUCUUUUGUAAGGUAUCUCUUUUGCUGAAGUACUUUUGUUAAUAUUAUUCAUCUGCCUGGAAUAGACAUCAGCUCCCCUGCCUAGCUCAAUCCUACAGAUUUUUUGAGGAUCAAUAUUUUCCAUCUGGCCUUUCCAACUGUUCCAACCUCUUCUUAAAAAGCCUCUUCAAUCUCUUGGGAGGAAGCUGACGUAUAAUGGUUAAAAAUGUAAGGUUGAUCUUGAGCAAAUUAAAAUUUAAGGUUUUUGUGCCUCCAGUUUCCUAUCUGUAAAAUGGUAAUAAAAUAUUCCCUUCCUCACAGGGUCAUUACAAGGAUCAUAAGUCAAUAGCAUGCCAAGCACUUAAAAUGGUGCCUGGAACAGUAUAGAUAUUCAAUAAAUGAUGAGUGCCAUUAUCUGUAACUCUCAUUUGGAUGCUUAAUAUUGUUUGACCGUAGUAACCGUUUCACUAUGUAUAUGUAUAUCGAAACAUCAUGUUGUUAAAUAUAUACAAUACUUUUUUUAAAAAAUCACAU